rnacentral:lncRNA from 1 species
GGCCUGCACCCUAGAGGAAAGGGCAAAGGGAAGCCUUAUUAUCUUGACAAAUCAGGCAAUCAGAUGGAAAAGGGAUAGAAGAAGCUUGCAAGGCACACCAUAGUGUGUAGCUGUUUGAAAACUGGAAUGCAUGCAGAAAUCUCUAGAAGGCAUGGCCAGUUGGCCACUUAGGGCCUGUUUGGAUAUGCUAUUGCUAAAAUUUAGCAAGCGCUAAAGUUUAGCUUAUCUAAAGUUUAGCAUUUCCACCCAUUAGCACUUCCAUUUGGAGACAUAGCUAAUGGAUUGAGCUAAAAUUCAUGGAAAGUUAUUUUGCCCUUUUAUCUCCUCACCUCCUCCCUUUAUCUCUCCCCCUUUUGUCUUUUCACAAGCCAUUAGCAUCUUUUAGCUCCUCCCCACUAGCUAAUGCUUUGACACCUUUUUGGAGGUGGGCUAAAGUUUAGCCCUCCCAUUAGCCCUUCCGUUUGGAU